rnacentral:rRNA from 1 species
GUCCAGCCUGCCCAGUGAAACGGCCGCGGUACCCUGACCGUGCGAAGGUAGCAUAAUAACUUGUUCUUUAAAUGGGGACUAGCAUGAACGGCAUCACGAGGGUCUCACUGUCUCCUUUUUCUAAUCAGUGAAACUGAUCUCCCCGUGAAGAAGCGGGGAUAAAAAUAUAAGACGAGAAGACCCCAUGGAGCUUUAAACUUGGUUUUAGGUUGGGGUGACCACGGAGUACAAUAAAUCCUCCAUGACAUCCUUGAACCACAUUUCUAAGAAUCAACAAAUUGACGUUGAUCCGAUCAACGGACCA